rnacentral:rRNA from 1 species
CAGUCGCCGCGGUAACACGAAGGGGGCUAGCGUUGUUCGGAUUUACUGGGCGUAAAGGGUGCGUAGGCGGAUUGUUAAGUCAGGGGUGAAAUCCCGAGGCUCAACCUCGGAACUGCCUUUGAUACUGGCGAUCUUGAGUCCGGGAGAGGUGAGUGGAACUGCGAGUGUAGAGGUGAAAUUCGUAGAUAUUCGGAAGAACACCAGUGGCGAAGGCGACACACUGGCUCAUUACUGACGCUGAUGCACGAAAGCUAGGGGAGCAAACAGGAUUAGAUACCCCCGUAGUCCCUGUCUCUUAUAA